UUUCAAAAAAUUGUUUUUCUUUUGCUGAACAGGACUUCUUAACAGUGGGUUUAAAAUAUUCAGUAAACCUUUAUUUAACGAGAUGUGGCUGAAAUAUCUAGGCUUUCUUGAUUAUUUAUAGAACACUUGCAUUGCAAAUGUAGCUUAAAUCUUAAGGACCCUAGGAUUGUUGGAAUCGUAAAUGAACAUCACACUUAGGAAUAUAGCUAGCCAAGGAGGGGAAAGAUCUCUACAAGAAAAAUUUUAAAAGCUACUCAAAGAAAUCAGAGAUAACACAAAUGAAAAACAAGUACACGGGGCAGCAAAAGGUAACGAAUGCCAACAAAGAGAUCUCAUUGAGAACGAAGAAAAUGGAGAAAACUACCACAUGGCAGAUGGGAGGCAGUGUUGGCAUGCCUCUCCCACUUGGAAGGACAGAUUAGUGUGUAGAUUUACACUGUGAACUUUUUUGCAAGAACUGAUGCAGGAACUUAACAGAAAAAUCAACAACCAAAAAAUUCACAUACACUUUGAAGAAGAAGCAGGGACCACCAGCCUACUCCAUGACACAAGCAAAAAACAUCACAUCCCCACAUUUUGAGGGGAGACAGCCCAGUCCAAAGCACACAUCCCCACUGGGAAUCUGGAAAUUCUGGCCACAAGGGAAGGCUAUAAUCCUAUGCAGAGCGGGAAUGGAUUUAGGGAGCCAGCAAAAUAUACAAACAGAAGCAGCAGCAGGAAGUGCCUUGCAGGCAUUCCCAGUCUUCAGUGUGAACCCAGGGAAGUCUUUCCUGACUACAUAUCACAGAGGCCCUUGGAGAAGUCAGCUAAUGAGCUCAGAGAGGGGUCACAGGGUAAAAGAAGCUCCCAACUGAAUUUUGUGAUAUAAUCUCAAGUGGGGUCACGUGCCCUAGAGCAGAACGCACAGGGGAGAGCUGGAAGUGCAUUGCAGACAUGAGCGCAGAAGGUGGGUGUCCAGCCUUGGGGGCAGACCGGGAGGGACAUGGCCUGAGCCAUGGUUAUUAUCUCUGUGGGAAAGCUGAUGAUCUGGGGCUGGUCUGAGUUUUGUGCACAGACUGCCUGGAUGUAAACCUGGCACUGUUAGUCGAGCAUUACAAGAAUGAAAUGAAUGAAAACUGCCUUGCCAACUCCAUGGGUGCUGAUUGAGGCUCACUGCCGCCCACUACUUCCCACUCGCUUUGUGAACUCUUCUGUGCAGCAGAGGCAGGGAAACUCUCCUCUGGAACAUUACCCCAGCAGCCUGAGAACCACCCCCUGGCCCUCGCAGGGGCUACAGCCUGCUUCAUUCAAGGACACUCAGAGUGCAGACCAACCUAACCCUGGACCCACUGGUGGUACCCCUCCACCUACCCUGGUAGCUAAACACAAAGAUACACUUUUAGGAGCUUCAUAGCCUCCCGACCCCCAUCUCUCAUUGCCUGAGAAACCACUUUCCCUGGGCAACUUAGGGCAACCUCAAAUCCCACUGCUACCACCACAGCUGGUGCUCUUUUGCAAGUGCCACCUCCUAGCUGGAGAACAACCAACACAGUCCACACAGCACCUCUAGGAAGAAUAAAGGGAACUGUUCCCAGAAAGGAGAAAACACCUGCAUGACCUCAGCUAUUACCACUGUGUACCACACCCAGGCCAACCAGAGGUCUUGAAUGGGCCCACAUGACGACUUCACUGCUCACAUAACCAGCAUUCAAGCACACUAAGCUUAUCUGCAUCCAAGGAAUCUCUGAGUCUGUGUUGUUCCUUGCCACCUCAAUCAGAGCUGGUGUUGGUAUCCACUGCUGGGAGACUUGAGGACAGGUCAUCUCACUGGAUCCUUUGCCAACAAAUCCAGCAUCAGCCUGGAGUCUGGGAGCCCCACUGGGUGUGUAGGCCCGGAAGAGCAGUAGCAAUCACCAUAGUCCAGCUCUCUGGAAGUCCCAUUUCGAUGGAAGGGAAGAGAGUACUGCAUAAGGGAACACCAGUGGGACAGAAAAACCUGAACGGCAGCCCCUUGAGUCCCAAGUCUUCCCGUUGUUGGGAAAUUUCUUACAGCAGACAAACAAUUGCAGAGCUGGGUGCAGUAGGAAAAGCCUGCACCUUUACCCCAACAGGCAGGCAGCUUCUGUGACUGAGAAAGGUCCUGGAGAAGCGGUCCUUGUUCCCCGCUGAUGUACCACUGAAGACACAACUGGGGCUACUCCCACAGGAACACAGAGUGCAUACACCUAUAGACAACCUUCCUGGAACAAUUCAUGAUGAUUGCACCCCCACAGGAGAAGCACUCUCCAGAUGCAGGCUUGCACAAGAGGCAGUCAUAAUUCUUCCCAACUUGGAACACCAACAUUUCUAUAGAUGAGAAGAGGUGCCUAUCUGAUCUGAACAGCCGGAACCCUGGGACAGGAGUGAAGCUAGGAUGGGGAUAGCUUUCCUGCUGACCUGGCAGGGGAGCUGAGUAAGCUCCCAUUCUUUACCAUGAUGAAACCUCACCACAUCUAACUGAGACGUCCCCUAACCACCUUCAUCAAGGCCAGGACCUCUGCCCACGAUUGGGCUUUACAUCUACACAUCUGCUUUAGCUACAAACAGUGCCUAUCCCAGCAUACCUUCUCUACUGGCCUGAAGCCUGAUUCAUCAACUCAGUAAGUAAAAUACUGAGGGAAAAUUUAAAAAGUAAAAAAUGUGCAUCACAGGAGAAUGAGAGAAACUUCAAAAGACACUUGCCACUUCAACCCCAAGGAGACAGUGAACUUGACCACCCACCAACUAUGAAACUACUACAACCCACAUCUGGGAAAGCCAGUGCACAUAGCCUCUCUACAACUAAGGAACUCACACACUAUUAUACACAGUGCUUUAUAGAAGCUUAUUAGUUCAAUUAAGUCACAUGUGUCUGUUUUUAUUUUCUUGCUUGUGUUUUUGUAACCUCACAACUGGAUUUCUUCACAGCCUGUGUAAGACUGCCUACAUAAUUCAUUUUAUGUGCCAUUAGUUAACCAUUCAACAGUAUGCAGAGAUAGGCAUUGCCCAUCCAGUGUUCUCAUAUCCUGUGAGGGAAAAAGAAAGAAACAACAUUUGCUAGGUAGGCCAGUGACAGAAAUGGAUUCAAAACAUCAGUGUGUGAAGCUAAAUGAUGGUCACCUUGUGCCUGUCCUGGAAUUUGGCACUGGUGCACCUCUAGAGGUAAUAAUAAUAUUUUUAGUGUUGAGUGUUCAAAGGAGCAAAGCUAGAAUAGGUGGAAGCUGAUUUGUGUUCCUGUGUGCUCUGCAUGACUGCCGUGGUCUUAGUUUCCCUAGGGUAGAGCUGUGCUCUGUGUACAAAGAGAAAACGUGAAUCUUUGUUCUGCAAUGCAGUCUGGUCAAGGGGUCAUCUACUGCUUAUUUGGGGCACUGUUUUGUCUUCCAUUCAUGUUUAUUUCACAACUUAUUAGAAUCUAUGAAACCCAGUAGGAAGAACACUGCCGUCUGCUCCCCUCUUUUAGGUAUUAAUUGCAAUAGGAGUGGUUUCGCUGUUUCUUUCUAUAGUAAGAUAAAUAUAUUCUUCUUCUAAGAGGACAUGAUCCAGUGAAAUCUUUAUGGCAAAAGUUAAUGGAGAUAGGGUGCAUGAAAUCUAUUUGGAGAGUAUCACUGUUCUGAUGGGUGAUCUUGUGAACUACAUGGUAAUACCGGACCUGGACUAAAGAGAAUUUCCCAAGUACUAUUCUCACCUCUGGGAAAAUUACAUGGAAGGAAAAAUAUCCUCAUUUUGAGAAAAAAAAAUAGAACCUAGUUAAGAAAGUCUAAAUUCUUGGUCCUCGUUAGUGUGCAUCAGAUUUGUAUGAAAAUGGUAAGUUGGUCCUCUGACACGCAAGUGAACAAAAUUCAGAGUUUAUUUUCUAGACUGAACUAUUUCUACACUGGAAGAACGCUUGUAUCCCAAGACUGUCCUGUCACUACAAAGUGUGUGAAUAGGGACUAGUUACACCAAAUUUGUGCUUCACUUUUUCAACUAUAAGUUGUAAGGACUUACAUAUAUAUUUUGAAGACCAUGGACAGGGAUGGUUUACUUUGUAAUAUAGAUAAGCAGGGAGAGGAUGUAAGGAUGGGGACACCCCUGAAGCUCCAGCCUUGAUAAGCCUCUGAGUGUUCACAUAGCAAAGAAAAGAUCAAGAAUGCUAUGAGGACAGGGCCGUGACUCCCAGUAUUUAACUUGUUGUAAUUUCAUGGGAAAAAAGAAAGCUUCUGAAAUACUUUUAAACAGGGAAAAUACUUUGUGUUAUUUAUGUUUCUGCAUUUAAAAUAUAUACAUUCGAAUAUGCUCCCAAAUUUAUUACAUAAGUCAAUAAUUGUAAAUGUCACUGCAAUUUGAUUUUUUUCCUAAAAGAGUUGACUUUAACUUCGGAUCUGAAACCCACUUUAAUCUCUUACUGUCUGCAGUUUAUUUUUUAUCUAUAAAUCAACAUCCUUAAAUCCUACAUCUUUACUCCUAGUAUUUAGUUCUGUCAUGCAGGCAGAAUGACUAAUGGCUGUGUAGAAAAGAAUUAACAUAAUAGAUUGCUCUCCAUAGAUGUGCCUAUUUCCAAAACGGACCUGGCUGGUAUCUGAGAAGGUGGUUUUCUCACUAUUUCCUAAUUGAAAAAGAUGGUGGCUGUAAGUAACUGCUUGUGCAAACUGUGGGGCUUGUGUGCACCUGCUUUCCUUUGGGAGACUGGACUUUUUGUCUGUGUUAGGUAGAAUGGGUCAAUGUAACCAGCAACCAGUGAAAAUCUUAGGAACGGAUAUAUGGGGAGCAACACUUGUAGACAACACUUUCCAUAUAUCGUCAAAAUAUGAUGCUGGAGGAAGUCAGUGUGUUCCAUGCAAGAUCAUGAGACAGGAAUCACAGGAGCUUGCACUGUAUUCCUUCAUAAUUCCUUCCACGUGCCUUUUUUCUUGUGUUAAUUUCACUACAUUGAAACUCAUUAAGAUUAUAUCUAUAAGAGUAGGUUGAGUCCUGUUGAUUUUUACAGCAAAUUUCCAAAACUGGAUGUGUUCUUGGGAACCUUCAGGCCAGUGGUCAACCAGUGAUUUUCUCGUAAUGAAGAAGUUCCUGGGAUGCCCAAUCUUCAUUACCAACCAGGAAAGACCCAGGCAGACUGGGAUGGGCUUGUGAUCUUGCAUGGAGAACUGAUCCAAGACAUGAGGAACAACUCAUUUAUGUCAAGGUCAAUGCUUGUACCUGAACUACCUCCCAAGCACAUCAAUCAGCAAAUACUAACUACUUUUAGUUGCUCCUCCAGGUUCUUUGGAAUAGAGCUACAGAGGUCAUUAAAUUGGCAGUAGAAGCUGGAUUCUACCCAUUUCUACAAUAAUGAGGAGCAGGUUGGAAAGACCAUCUGAAGCAAGAGUUUAGAUGGCAGUGUGAAGAGAGAAGACAUAUUCUAUACUUCAAAUGUACUGUGCCUGUGAUGAGCUUGUUUGCCCAGUCAGGUGAGGAGCUGAUCCCAAAAGAUGAAAAUGGAGAGGUACUAUUUGACACACUGGAUCUCUGUGCCACGUGGGAUGUGAGUGCUACGAGGCCAUGGAGAAGUGUAAAGACGCAGGAUUGGCCAGGUCCAUCGGGGUGUCCAACUUCAACUGAAGGCAGUUUGAGAUGAUCCUCAACAAGCCAGAGCUCAAGUAGAAGCCCGUCUGCAACCAGGGUGGACCCAAACUCCCCGGUUCCCUUGGAGGACCCAGUCCUUUGUGCCUUGGCAAAAAACCACAAGUGAACCCCAGCCCUGACUGCCCUGCGCUACCAGCAGCAGCAUGGGGUUGUGGUCCUGGCCAAGAGCCUCAGUGAGCAGCGGAUCAGAGAGAACAUGAAGGAAAUACAUUUUAUAAGUCUACGGCUACCUUGGUGACUCAUCUGAAGAACCUGGGCAAGGAAAAUUGAAAAUCUUCUGGAAAAGAUUUACUAUUCUAGAUGCCAUUAAAAACAUUCAUGAUUCAUGACAGGAGGGCAAAACACUAACUUGAACAGGAGUUUGGAGGAAGUGAAUUCAACGCUCAUGGAUGACUUGGAGGAAUGCAAGAUUUCAGUGGAGAAAGUAAUUGCAGAUGUGGUAGAAAUAGCAAGAGAACUAGAAUUCAAAUUGGAGCUUGAAUGUUACAGAAUGCUUGCAAUCUCAUGAUGUAAUUUUAACAAACGAGAAAUGCUGCUUAUGAAUGAGCAAGAAAAGUGGUUUGGUGAAAUGGAUUCCAUUUCUUGGGAAAAUGUUGUAAACAUUGUUGGAAUGGCAGCAAAGGAUUUAGAACAUUACAGAAGCAUAGUUGAUAAGGCCAUGACAGUGUUUGAGAGAAUUAUCUCUAAUGCUAUCAUGUCCCUAUAAUGACAGAGUUGCCUAACAAAGCCAAUCUCAGAAGAUAGUCCAGGCGUUAUGCAACACAUGACUGUCACUGGUGACAGGGAAGGAGUCACUUGUGCCAUUUUCAGUGUUUUCCUACGAGGUUUAUAGCUUUCUAUCCUUCAUAUCCACCGUUACUACCAUUGUGUGAGGUUGCGUGAUUUUUUAAAUGAAGUUUGGAUUCCCUUCUGAUUUCCUCUUGCAUAUAUUCUACAAUUAUUCUUUUUGUGAUGGCUGUGGAGAUGACAAAAACUUUAUAAAGUUACAAUAAUUUUCUUUGAAUCAAUAUGAAUUUAACUUCAAUUUCAUGUAAAAACCAUCUACGUCCCCAUGUUUUCUCCACUUCACAUGGUUUUGGUCAGUAAUUACAGCUUCCUACAUUGCACACAUAUUAACUUAGAAUUAUACUUACUUCUAGACAUUUAUAUUUUAAAUCUUGAAGUAAAAUAAUGAGUAGAAUCCAAACUUUCAAAAAUACAUGAUUUUAUGUUACCGUAUAUUCACAUUUACAAGAAGUCUUUAUAACUCUAUAUGGCUAUAAGUUACUAUUUCCUUUCAUUCAACCUGAAUUCUUCCCUUCAGCAUUUCUUUGAGAGAAAAAAUAGUAAAAUUAGUGAUUGGAGGUCCCUAUAAAAUUUUCUUAUAUCACAAGUGUUCCUGAAAUCAGGUGUUUGGCUUUAUGAAAUUCUGAGUAAUUUUUUUUUCUUUUUUAACCAUAAGAGUUUUAUAAAAAUGGAUGGUGACAAGCUGGAAAAAGUCCAUAGCAGUUUUAGUAUUUACAAAUGACUGACCCAAUGAUUAUUUCACAUCUUGAAGUCAGAGUUACACGUGCAAAAGAGAUUUGAAAUAUGAAAGUUUGCUUAAGCCUUACACACUUGACUACUAAGUUUUAACAAAAUGUCAAUCUUUUCUUGACAGUUAUAUCAAUCGGGUUUAUGAGAUGUGAAAUUAUCAUUCCUUAGACUCAGAAAGUUAAGGUAGAACAGGAUGGCCGUGGUUUACAUGAGGUUUCUUUGAGACUUGCUAAGUGUGAAUGUCGUUUAGACUUUAAUGUGGAGAUGCAGAGUUCACACUGUGAUCUUCCAUUGUAGAAUUUGGAGGAAAAAUCUGAGCUAGAAAUAUUUGUGGGGGGGUUUCUCUGCCUAGAGGUGAUAUUUAAUGCAGAGAAUAUCUAAGAUCAUCAACGGAAUGACAGUGGACCAAAAAUAAUCCAAAAAAACUGGUCUAGGGCCCUCUAAAGUUUAUGGCCUCCUCCAAUUUUACAGAGUAAGUAAUUUACAGAAAAAUUGUGAGCUGCAAAACUUGCUGGGAUGCCUAUCAGCUCUGAGACAUGCCUUGAGAAGGAAUCUCUGAAGGGGUUAACGUGGCUACUAGAGUAAGAAGAGUGGCGGGUAAAUGUGUUAGAAAGUGUGCCCAGCUUAAAAACCAGUGUUCUCAAAAUGCUUUGAUCAUUAAGCCCUGAGACUAUCCCACAUUUUCAAAAGUGUUGUCUGAAAUGAAAAUCAUGUCUUCAUGAUUAGCUGAUUUACUUAGUUCCCCUGAAAAUUAUGUAUAAGAAUGAAAUGCCUUUGUAAGAGUUGUUCUUAAAAUUUACCAAUGUUUGAAAACAGUGUACUGUUUUACAUACCCUGUUUCCAAAAGAUGCUUGAAGUCUUGGAACACAUGAUUUAUUAGAUUUAUUAUUUCCCAUUUUAAUCUUGAGUGCAAUACAUAAUGACUCUGGGAUAUUUUUGUUUUAUACUUGUAACUAUGCUUUGCUUAAUGUUAAAACAUUUAAAAGAUUGAAUAUAACCAAUGAAAUGCACAUUUUUACAAUCUAAGAAUAUUUUCUAAAUAUGAGGUAGUCAGGGGAAUGUGAUUAGUCAAUGAUGUCUUUGAUGUCCUGCCCCAUCAUAGACCAAUAGGGUCAACGCUGUGACUGGGCACACAUCAAAGAUUCAUGCCUGACUCUCAGCUGUGGGGUUUGUUAAAACAUUGUGGAAACUUCCCUUUUAUAAACAAGAAAUAAUGAUCAAAAAAAAAAAAAAAGGGGGUACUGAAAUGUUUUUACAAGCGGAGAUGUGCUUGAC